rnacentral:rRNA from 1 species
UGUAUUUAUUAGAUAAAAAACCAAUGCCCUUCGGGGCUUUUUGGUGAUUCAUGAUAACUUUACGGAUCGCAUAGCCUUGCGCUGGCGACGGUUCAUUCAAAUUUCUGCCCUAUCAACUUUCGAUGGUAAGGUAUUGGCUUACCAUGGUUUCAACGGGUAACGGGGAAUUAGGGUUCGAUUCCGGAGAGGGGGCCUGAGAAACGGCUACCACAUCCAAGGAAGGCAGCAGGCGCGCAAAUUACCCAAUCCCGACACGGGGAGGUAGUGACAAUAAAUACUGAUACAGGGCUCUUUUGGGUCUUGUAAUUGGAAUGAGUACAAUUUAAACCUCUUAACGAGGAACAAUUGGAGGGCAAGUCUGGUGCCAGCAGCCGCGGUAAUUCCAGCUCCAAUAGCGUAUAUUAAAGUUGUUGCAGUUAAAAAGCUCGUAGUUGAAACUUGGGCCUGGCUGGCGGGUCCGCCUCACCGCGUGCACUCGUCCGGCCGGGCCUUCCUUCUGAAGAACCUCAUGCCCUUCACUGGGCGUGCUGGGAAACCAGG